CGAGCGGUAUUUCUUCUUCGGAAGAGAGAGAGCGGCGUACGGGUGCGUAACACGUGUGCAACCUGCCUUUAUCUGGGGGAUAGCCUUUCGAAAGGAAGAUUAAUACCCCAUAAUAUAGUGACUGGCAUCAGUUACUAUUGAAAACUCCGGUGGAUAGAGAUGGGCACGCGCAAGAUUAGAUAGUUGGUGAGGUAACGGCUCACCAAGUCUGUGAUCUUUAGGGGGCCUGAGAGGGUGAUCCCCCACACUGGUACUGAGACACGGACCAGACUCCUACGGGAGGCAGCAGUGAGGAAUAUUGGACAAUGGGUGAGAGCCUGAUCCAGCCAUCCCGCGUGAAGGACGACGGCCCUAUGGGUUGUAAACUUCUUUUGUACAGGGAUAAACCCAGAUACGUGUAUCUGGCUGAAGGUACUGUACGAAUAAGCACCGGCUAACUCCGUGCCAGCAGCCGCGGUAAUACGGAGGGUGCAAGCGUUAUCCGGAUUUAUUGGGUUUAAAGGGUCCGUAGGCGGGCCCGUAAGUCAGUGGUGAAAUCUCGCAGCUUAACUGUGAAACUGCCAUUGAUACUGCGGGUCUUGAGUAAAUUUGAAGUGGCUGGAAUAAGUAGUGUAGCGGUGAAAUGCAUAGAUAUUACUUAGAACACCAAUUGCGAAGGCAGGUCACUAAGAUUUAACUGACGCUGAUGGACGAAAGCGUGGGGAGCGAACAGGAUUAGAUACCCUGGUAGUCCACGCCGUAAACGAUGCUAACUCGUUUUUGGAUUUUCGGAUUCAGAGACCAAGCGAAAGUGAUAAGUUAGCCACCUGGGGAGUACGAUCGCAAGAUUGAAACUCAAAGGAAUUGACGGGGGCCCGCACAAGCGGUGGAUUAUGUGGUUUAAUUCGAUGAUACGCGAGGAACCUUACCAAGACUUAAAUGGUAAUUGACAGGUUUGGAAACAGACCCUCCUUCGGGCAAUUUUCAAGGUGCUGCAUGGUUGUCGUCAGCUCGUGCCGUGAGGUGUUAGGUUAAGUCCUGCAACGAGCGCAA
rnacentral:rRNA from 1 species